rnacentral:tRNA from 1 species
CGGGCGGUAGCUCCGUUGUAGAGCUCCCGCUUCAUAUGCGGGAAAAUCUGGGUCCGAUUCCCGGCUGCUUCC